rnacentral:rRNA from 1 species
CCUACGGGAGGCAGCAGUGGGGAAUUUUGGACAAUGGGGGCAACCCUGAUCCAGCCAUGCCGCGUGAGUGAAGAAGGCCUUCGGGUUGUAAAGCUCUUUCGGCCGGAACGAAAUCGCGCACGUGAAUAACGUGCGUGGAUGACGGUACCGGAGUAAGAAGCACCGGCUAACUACGUGCCAGCAGCCGCGGUAAUACGUAGGGUGCGAGCGUUAAUCGGAAUUACUGGGCGUAAAGCGUGCGCAGGCGGUUCGCUAAGUCAGACGUGAAAGCCCCGGGCUUAACCUGGGAACGGCGUUUGAAACUGGCGGGCUCGAGUACGGCAGAGGGGGGUGGAAUUCCACGUGUAGCAGUGAAAUGCGUAGAUAUGUGGAGGAACACCGAUGGCGAAGGCAGCCCCCUGGGCCGAUACUGACGCUCAUGCACGAAAGCGUGGGGAGCAAACAGGAUUAGAUACCCUGGUAGUCCCACGACCUAACUACUGUCACUAGUAGUCGGGAGACAUCUUAGUACGCAGCUACGACGUGAGUGACGCGNGGAGUACGGUCGCGAGAGUAAACGUACGAAGUAAGUAGUUAGNGUGAGAGUGCGAGGCGACGACGAGGGAGGAGG